CAUGGGCAUGAAUUGAGUCAAUAG
rnacentral:siRNA from 1 species